rnacentral:rRNA from 1 species
CCUACGGGAGGCAGCAGUGAGGAAUUUUCCGCAAUGGGCGAAAGCCUGACGGAGCGACGCCGUGUGUGCGAUGAAGUCCUUCGGGAUGUAAAGCACUGUCAGGGGGGACGAUAUUGACGGUACCCCCAGAGGAAGGCCCGGCUAACUACGUGCCAGCAGCCGCGGUAAUACGUAGGGGCCAAGCGUUGUCCGGAAUCAUUGGGCGUAAAGGGCGUGUAGGCGGUCUGAUAAGUCGAAUGUUAAAUCUACGGGCUAAACCCGUAGCCGCAUUCGAUACUGUCAGACUGGAGAAUGGUAGAGGAAAGCGGAACUUCCGGUGUAGCGGUGAAAUGCGUAGAUAUCGGAAGGAACACCAGUGGCGAAGGCGGCUUUCUGGGCCAUUUCUGACGCUGAGGCGCGAAAGCUAGGGGAGCGAACGGGAUUAGAUACCCCUGUAGU